rnacentral:rRNA from 1 species
GAUGAACGCUGGCGGCGUGCCUAAUACAUGCAAGUCGAGCGAACGGACGAGAAGCUUGCUUCUCUGAUGUUAGCGGCGGACGGGUGAGUAACACGUGGAUAACCUACCUAUAAGACUGGGAUAACUUCGGGAAACCGUAGCUAAUACCGGAUAAUAUUUUGAACCGCAUGGUUCAAAAGUGAAAGACGGUCUUUCUGUCACUUAUAGAUGGAUCCGCGCUGCAUUAGCUAGUUGGUAAGGUAACGGCUUACCAAGGCAACGAUGCAUAGCCGACCUGAGAGGGUGAUCGGCCACACUGGAACUGAGACACGGUCCAGACUCCUACGGGAGGCAGCAGUAGGGAAUCUUCCGCAAUGGGCGAAAGCCUGACGAAGCAACGCCGCGUGAGUGAUGAAGGUCUUCGGAUCGUAAAACUCUGUUAUUAGGGAAGAACAUAUGUGUAAGUAACUGUGCACAUCUUGACGGUACCUAAUCAGAAAGCCACGGCUAACUACGUG